AUGGAUUGGGAGCUUGAGGGUCUCACUCUGUUGCAGUGGCAUGAUCAUGGCUCACUGCAGCCUCCACCUCCUGAGCUCAAGCGAUCCUCCUACCUCAGCCUCCCAAGUAGCUGGGACUACAGUACUCAUGUUUGGAAUCCAACCACCCUGUGUGAAGAUCCCAGAACACAUGGAAAAGCCACAUGUAAGUUUUCCAGCUGACAGCCCCAGCUAAGGUCUCAGCCAAAGCCAGCAUCAGACACAUGAGGGAAUGAACCCAUAGAAGAUUCCUUCCUCCAACCUUUGAAUCUUCCAGUAGAGACACCAGACAUUGUGGAGCUGGGACAGGCCACCCCACAGUUUCCUGUUGGAAUUCCUGGCCCACACAAUUAAUGAGGAAAAUAAAUAAUCAUUUUAUGCACUA
rnacentral:lncRNA from 13 species